rnacentral:rRNA from 1 species
GUCGAGCGGAAACGGCAGUAUUGAAGCUUCGGUGGAUUUACUGGACGUCGAGCGGCGGACGGGUGAGUAACGGCUGGGAACCUGCCCUGACGAGGGGGAUAACCGUUGGAAACGACGGCUAAUACCGCAUAAUGUCUACGGACCAAAGGUGGCCUCUACAUGUAAGCUAUCGCGUUGGGAUGGGCCCAGUUAGGAUUAGCUAGUUGGUAAGGUAACGGCUUACCAAGGCGACGAUCCUUAGCUGGUUUGAGAGGAUGAUCAGCCACACUGGGACUGAGACACGGCCCAGACUCCUACGGGAGGCAGCAGUGGGGAAUAUUGCACAAUGGGGGAGACCCUGAUGCAGCCAUGCCGCGUGUGUGAAGAAGGCCUUCGGGUUGUAAAGCACUUUCAGCAGUGAGGAAGGUAGUGUACUUAAUACGUGCAUUGCUUGACGUUAGCUGCAGAAGAAGCACCGGCUAACUCCGUGCCAGCAGCCGCGGUAAUACGGAGGGUGCGAGCGUUAAUCGGAAUUACUGGGCGUAAAGCGCAUGCAGGCGGUUUGUUAAGUCAGAUGUGAAAGCCCGGGGCUCAACCUCGGAACCGCAUUUGAAACUGGCAGGCUAGAGUCUUGUAGAGGGGGGUAGAAUUUCAGGUGUAGCGGUGAAAUGCGUAGAGAUCUGAAGGAAUACCAGUGGCGAAGGCGGCCCCCUGGACAAAGACUGACGCUCAGAUGCGAAAGCGUGGGUAGCAAACAGGAUUAGAUACCCUGGUAGUCCACGCCGUAAACGAUGUCUACUUGGAGGCUGAGGUUUAAGAC